rnacentral:lncRNA from 1 species
AUCUCAGGAGAUCCUGCCUUCAUACCUUUGCUCAUGCUGCCUGGGAGAGCCUCCCUUCCACCUGUUCACAGCCAAGCUCUCUGAGCCUGAGCUCUCUCUGCCAUGAAGUCUUCUUUGUUGAAGACUCUGACUGAAGCCCAGGGAAGUUAUUAUGCAAGACAAUCUCCUUCUGACCAGCUUUCUAGAACUUUGAACAGAGCUGAACACAGAGACUUGAAGAAACUUGGUUGGAGGAAGUGGUUGUCCAGGAAGUCAGAGAUGGAGGCCUGUGCAGGCAGAAGCCAGGCCUGUGCAGGCAGAAGCCAGAUCCAAAAGGGCCUGGUUCAGGUUCUUCUCCAUAACCAGGGUGGCUUCCAUGGCAUCCAAGGCUUUACCCCACUCAUCCUGGGACGCUUCUGCCCAUCCUGGAAGAGGGCACGGCCACCACACUGGUUUUGCAUCUUCAAGUCGGCUCAGGACCCUCCUAAGGCUUCUCCUAAGGCAGCUUGUGGAAGAAGUGGCCCAGCCCUCCAGAGCCACAUGGUCGUGGUAGAAAUAGAAGCCCAGAGAGAGGCUCUAGGACCCCCUGGCAUUGGCACACGCUGGAGUCCUGGAGGAGCACGUGGUCGGAAGCCUUGGCUUUCUCUCCAUCUAAGGCUUGAUUUAGAUCUACAUCUCAGCACUCGGCAGAGCUACUUUCCCUCCACAUAAACGAGCUGACUCUUUGCCUUUAUAGGUUUUGCUGAAAGCAAAAUCUUAAUUGCCUGUCAUUGAAAUGG